UCCUACCUGCACGCACGGUGAGCCACUGCUGCAGAAACGGCGCAGCAGGAUGGAGCCGGAAUGAAAUCAUAUGCAAAACUUUCCUGAGAGUGAAGAGGCCCCCCGGCAGAGGGCCAUGGCUCUGUCCGCUCACUUUGGUGUUUUGAGGACCAGAGAAUUGCGGGAGCUUCUAGAGGACGAGGACAAAAUAAAUCAGAUUGUCACACUGAGUCAGAAGUUUCAGGGACUAAUGAGGGCUACGGAGAGCAUGCUGGUUUCAAAUCAGAGAUUGGCAAAAGCCACUCUCUGUCAGAAACCUGCGUUUAGAGAUGCCAAGCUGCUGCUCGCAGUGAAGUACAAGGAACUAGAAAACUUAGCAGCAUCACCCAGGCCAAACAAGAACAACUCUCAGAAAAACGCAUCAUUCACAGUGCUCAGCAGUGUCUCCUGAAAAAGAUCAAACAUGCUGAAGAGGAGUGUGAGAUGCUGUUUCAGAGGUUUGUGGAGGGGAAAACACCACUGGCGGAUUUCUUGGAUUCCUUUCAAAAGUCACGGAAACUCCACCACACCAGGCUGGUCCUGGUGGCAAAAAUACAGGAAAUGAUCCAGUCUGAGCAGAAACUACAAAGACCGACCGCGAUUUGUCCCAACACUGAACAUUUUGCUGCGGGCUGUCAUGGUGAGGUACAUAACACCUGCCAUCCGUUCUGCAGCCUAACCACAGCUCUCGUUUUGCCCGCCUUCUGCCACUCUCACACCUGUGUUCCUGUCCAGUCUCCAUUCCUGCUGCCCAUUGGUGCCCAGCCUUUACAGCAUGUACCGUUUUGUUUUGACAACGAAGAGCCUGUGUGUCCCAGACUGUAUGGACAAGGCCCCAGAUGGCAGGCAAGACCCGUCCGACUUCAGCCACUGAGGAUCCAGCCCAGAGACGACCAACAGGCGCCACGCUGAAGCCUAAACCAGUCUCGGAUUAACGUUUUUGAAUUUCACUGAAUCUUAAUGUGCAUUUGGGUAAUGCAAACUACCUCUGAGAUCAAGACUGGGAUAAGAUGCUCUCUGUACAACUGCACAUUAAGCACAGAAAGAUCAAGAGAGUGAAUUUCUCCAGUUGAGAAAAGCCCCCGACUCAAAGUGCAACAUGUUUUCUGACCGCUUUGCAUCAUGGUCUCGACUGAGGCUUGUGUUUGUGUACACACUGGUAUCUCUUCUUCUGCUGCAAUGAAUUUCUCCCCAGUGUGAUUGUUGAAUGUUAUUGCAGUUGAGUGUAGAAAGCCCUCACUCUUAAAUUCUGACACUAAAAUCCAACAUUUGUUGUUUAUGUUUAAUGGGUGACACAACGUGAAUCUGCUUGUGUAUUAAGGCACUUACUCUAAUAAAUUUUUAUUUGCUUAAAAUUAGCCUGUCCCUACUUAUGCACAUCCAAAAUUGAGGAGGCUCUGCAGCAGAUGAUUAUUGUUGCUUAGUAACAAAGAACCCAUGAACUCCCAUUUGAAAUCCCAAAAGAAAAGAGAGCAUAUGCCGCAUUGAUGAACCUCCAUCUUUCUGUGGGUUAGGAAAUCUUGAACUAUAGAUAGCACUGGCGUGGUUAUUCACCGAGUGAACUUGAACUCCUCACCGACACUUGAUAUCUCUGAUCAUCUGUCUGCAGAGUCUCCUGCCAAGGUCAGUGGAGGACCAUGAAUGGCGCCCCCCCGAUACUUUCCUUCUUUAAACUCAAUUACACUUACUACAGUAACUCUUUUGAUGGAGGGACGAAGGCAGUUUUGUCGCAGUAUUGUCUUACUUAAACUGUGUCACCUGGUGCCUGUUCAGUACCCGUGUGUGCUCGCCUGACCACCCAUAGGGUUAGCCAGAGUGCCAUAUGGCCCAAUGAAGCUUGCCAUACUAAUUGCGCUGUGGAGAAAGCCCACUGGCACUACAGGAGAUGAUUAGCAAGGCGAGGCAUGUUAAAAGGCUUUUGUUACACAAUGGACUUCAGUUACAUCUAUGUCAGCAGCCUGCAUUGUCCGAAGACACUCAAAUUGGGCAAUUUUCUUGUCUGUCAGCUAAUCAUUGCAAUGCCUUUCAGCUCAGAUCUUCACAUUCUUUGAUGGGGCACGAGGCCGCGGCUGUCCUGGUGGUGGUGAUAUAGAGGCCGUGUUUUGAAAAAAUGACCUCUAUGCACAAUAUUCAGCUUUCAAAAGGCUCCUAUAGUAUCAAAAUUAAUAUCAAAAAGCCAAAAUGAAGCCACCCAGUUACUUAAAAGUCAAGUCUCAAUGUGCUAUUGAACUACUAUGUUGUACUUUGGUGUUCUUCUACACACACACACAUUAGGCCAUACUCGUACAGUAAGCACAGAAGUAAUAAAAAUCAGCAAUACAAAGCCUUUUAUCAGCGGUAUGUGUUAAAAUAGGUCAUCUCACAAGUAGGCAUGUGAAGCUAUUGCUCCCCUGUAUGGCCACAUGUAAAGGGGAUUACAGAGUAUCUGUGACAGCAGCCGGUGGUAUAGCAGGUAUGGAGUAACAUGUAGAGCAGUUCAAUUAUGUAAGAAUGAGGGAUGAUGUCAGCUGACCCACUUAUUUUGAAUGAAUGUCCCUUAAAACACACCCAGCUUUAGAGGAAAGCUAUUGAAGGAUGCACUGGAUUUAUUCAGUUCAUAGUUCAUUUCAUUUACGGAGUACACCUGGCCAGUGUGGUUUCAGUGUGCUGCUUCAAAUCAAUGAUGAAAGAUGAAUGAACUCCCUGGUGUGAAAAUUAAUAUCUAUUAUAAAUAUCUACAUAUUAAAUUAUGUAACAUUCUUAUAUUGCACAAAUAUAAAGGUACUAGCUUAGUAAUAAAACUAAUCUCCAUCCCAAACCUGACAAUUUUUCUAGUAGUGCAAAUCACACCUGUUGAGUACUGAGGAAAAGACUGUGCUGUUUGCAUUAUGGUCUUAAUUAGAAAAUCGUCACCCGACAAAUGAAACAUAACAUCAAUCGAUACAAAUAAAGCUUGCAUGAUCAGACAGACAGUAAACACAUAGCACCUGAAACUGACCACAGAACAAACUCUGUUUCCUCUACUAAGCCAGUUUUUACUUUGUAAACUAAUCUGCCUUCGGGCGAUGUAGAAAAUAAGUGUUCCAGUAUGUGGCAACACUCAGCAAAAGUCACUUGUGCAACAUGAAUAAUUCCUGCUACAUCUCUUUUUUUUUUUUUUUUUUUUUUUUUUUUUUUGGAGCAAGGCCUCUUGUGGUUUAAUCCCUGA